UUGACUGUUAAUCAAUUGGUCGUAGGUUCGAGUCCUACCGGGGGAGCA
rnacentral:tRNA from 1 species